CAUAAUUGAUAUUCAUGUCAACACCGAAGUGCUGACUAAUAGGCUGGUGAUACCCUCGGGGACGAAACGUCCACCAUCAGAGGCAUCGACCCAGUGGUGUAAAUAGUUAUCAAAGGUACCAGGAUUAUAAUUUAGUACGCCAGAUGCGCGUUUCGUCUGCAGACUCAUCAGUGACGCUCAUAUCAAAAUAGUUAUAAACCAAACAAAUACAAAGUUGAAGAGCAUUGAGGAUCCAAAAUUCCAAAAAGUUGUGCCAAAUACGGCUAAGGUUAUCAAUGCCUGGGAUAAGAAAAUCCUUAGUUUUUUGAAAAAUUCAAAGUUUUGUUAACAGAAAAUUUAUAAAAAUGACCACAUAAUUGAUAUUCAUGUCAACACCGAAGUGCUGACUACUGGGCUGGUGAGACCCUCGGGGACGAAACGUCCACCAGCAGAGGAAUCGACCCAGUGGUGUAAAUAGUUAUCAAAGGUACCAGGAUUAUAAUUUAGUACGCCAGACGCUCGUUUCGUCUACAUAAGACUCAUCAGUGACGCUCAUAUCAAAAUAGUUAUAAACCAA
rnacentral:lncRNA from 1 species